rfam:Amborella trichopoda AMTR_V1.0_contig_45249, whole genome shotgun sequence.
GUGUUCUUAGCUCAGUUGGAUUAGAGCGACACCCUUCUAAGUUGUUGGCCGCAGGUUCAAAUCCUGCAGAAUGCA